rnacentral:rRNA from 1 species
UACGUAGGGUCCAAGCGUUAUCCGGAAUCACUGGGCGUAAAGCGUGCGUAGGCGGGAAUUUAAGUGUGAUGUUAAAUCAUGUGGCUCAACCAUAUUGAUGCAUCGCAUACUGGAUACCUGGAGGAAGGCAGAGGCAAGUGGAACUAGUAGUGUAGCAGUGAAAUGCGUAGAGAUUACUAAGAACACCAAUGGCGAAGGCAGCUUGCUGGGGCCUUUUCCUGACGCUGAGGGUACGAAAGCGUGGGGGAGCGAACAGG